rnacentral:rRNA from 1 species
GGAAGGAUCAUUAUGAAUUUAAUGAAGAGUUUGGUUGUAGCUGGUCUAUUUAUUUAGGCAUGUGCACACCUCCCUCUUUCAUCCCACACACACCUGUGAACUUGUGAGACAGUUGGGGAAUUUAUUUGUUAUUUUUUGUAAUAAAAUGAUAAUAAAUCAUUGAACCCUUCUGUCUACUCAACUCAUAUAAAAUCAAUUUAUUUUAAAUGAAUGUAAUGGAUGUAACACAUCUCAUACUAAGUUUCAACAACGGAUCUCUUGGCUCUCGCAUCGAUGAAGAACGCAGCGAAAUGCGAUAAGUAAUGUGAAUUGCAGAAUUCAGUGAAUCAUCGAAUCUUUGAACGCACCUUGCGCUCCUUGGUAUUCCUUGGAGCAUGCCUGUUUGAGUAUCAUGAAAUCUUCAAAAUCAAUCUUUUUGUUAACUCAAUUAGUUUGAUUUGGUAUUGGAGGUCUUUUGCAGCUUCACACCUGCUCCUCUUUGUGUAUUAGCUGGAUCUCAGUGUUAUGCUUGGUUCCACUCAGCGUGAUAAAUUAUCUAUCGCUGAGGACACUGUAAAAAGUGGCCAAGGUAAAUGCAGAUGAACCGCUUCUAAUAGUCCAUUGACUUGGACACUAUUAUUAUGAUCUGAUCUCAAAUCAGGUAGGACUACCCGCUGAACUUAAGCAU